rnacentral:rRNA from 1 species
GAUGAACGCUAGCGGCAGGCCUAACACAUGCAAGUCGAGGGGCAGCACAGAAACAGCAAUGUUUUGGUGGCGACCGGCGGACGGGUGCGUAACGCGUAUGCAACCUACCUUUAACAGGGGGAUAACGGAGAGAAAUUUCCACUAAUACCCCAUAACAUCGAUCAAGGCAUCUUGAUUGGUUGAAAACUCCGGUGGUUAAAGAUGGGCAUGCGUUGUAUUAGGUAGUUGGUGAGGUAAUGGCUCACCAAGCCUACGAUACAUAGGGGGACUGAGAGGUUAGCCCCCCACACAGGUACAGAGACACGGACCAGACUCCUACGGGAGGCAGCAGUGAGGAAUAUUGGUCAAUGGGGGCAACCCUGAACCAGCCAUGCCGCGUGCAGGAAGACGGCUCUAUGAGUUGUAAACUGCUUUUAAACAGGGAUAAAGCACAGUAUGUAUACUGUGUUGAAGGUACUGUAAGAAUAAGGAUCGGCUAACUCCGUGCCAGCCGCCGCGGUAA